rnacentral:rRNA from 1 species
UAUACAUGCAAGUCGAGCGCCCACUUCGGUGGGAGCGGCGAACGGGUGAGUAACACGUUGGAACCUGCCCCGAACUCAGGGAUAACAUCUAGAAAUAGGUGCUAAUACCGGAUGGUCCCGCAAGGGUAAAGAUUUUUCGGUUCGGGAGGGUCCUGCGGCCUAUCAGCUUGUUGGUAAGGCAACGGCUUACCAAGGCUAUGACGGGUAGCUGGUCUGAGAGGAUGAUCAGCCACAAUGGGACUGAGACACGGCCCAUACUCCUACGGGAGGCAGCAGUAAAGAAUCUUCCACAAUGGGGGAAACCCUGAUGGAGCAAUACCGCGUGAACGAUGACUGUCGAAAGAUUGUAAAGUUCUUUUCUGAGGGAAGAAUUCUGACGGUACCUCAGGAAUAAGCACCGGCUAACUCCGUGCCAGCAGCCGCGGUAAUACGGAGGGUGCAAGCGUUAUCCGGAAUCAUUGGGCGUAAAGCGUCCGCAGGCGGUUUGUUAAGUCGAAUAUUAAAUCUUGGAGCCCAACUUCAAGGCUGUGUUCGAAACUGGCAGACUAGAGUAUUCUAGAGGUGUGUGGAAUUCUGCGUGUAGGGGUAAAAUCCGUAGAUACGCAGAGGAACAUCAAAAGCGAAGGCAACACACUGGGGAAUUACUGACGCUCAUGGACGAAAGCGUGGGUAGCGAACGGGAUUAGAUACCCCGGUAGUCCACGCCGUAAACGAUGGAUACUAAGUGUUGGUCUGCUCGAUCGGAUCAGUG